CGCAAUGGGAAACCGCUCUUUCUCAUCGGUGGGUUAUGGUGGUCGCAUGACUGAAAGUUGGUUUGGAAAUUCAUGAUUUUUUUAGGUAAGCUGGUCGUACUUCCCACAGUUGGUUCCGAUAAAAUUCUCAAGCUAAAGCACACUUACUGUGCUCACACGGGCGAGUGUUUUAAACAAGGUCUUGUUUUUGAACUUAUUAACUUGUUUGAUUGAUCUUAACUAUGUGGUUAUGCUUUUUGAUAUUGGUUUGCUUGAUGACGUGAUCUGGUCAUUUUAAUGUUUUAAGGACUAUUGAAAAUUUGCUUUUUCAUUACUUUAGAGCGCUUGUGUAAUCAGAGUUUGCGUUAUUGUUCCAGUUAAUCAGCAUGUGUUAGGGGGAAAACAAUUUAUUUGAUUGUGGCCUGGUAUAGAUAAUCAAAACUUUAGUGGCAAUGUCAAAGAGUGGUAGAGAAAGCUGUUCAUGCUUUUGAGAUUAAUACUGUGUUGGAAUUUAGAUACUGGCCCAAUUAAUACAAAAUAUGGAUUUUAUGUGAUUUGUUGCUUUGUACCUGCUUUAUCCUCCAACUUUGGAUGCUCCUUGCGGGUUUAGGAUAGCAUUAUAAACAUGGUGAAAGGUGAAUGAGUUUGAAAAAUGAUAGACUUUGGGGUUCAGAUUGACUUUUAAUAGUUCUUGUCUUUGACGAAAGCACUUCUAAUGGGCUUGAACAAUGACACUGAGAUGAGAGGUAGGGGACAUGAACGGGAUUAGAUAAUCCAAUAAGUCUUAUCCUAGCUGAAAUGACAGAUAUUGUCCCUGUGCUUAUCGACGCCCAUGCAGGCGGAGUUGUCGCUAACGCCUAAGUAUAUCGCCGGGGGUGUACAUUGGUAGGAAAUGGAACUCAAAGGAUAUUUAUUGGCCUCCGCAGGGCAACCAUGGUGUAUGGUUCAUCUAUUGUCUUAGAAAACAUAGUUUUUUAUGGUUCUUUUUAUGCGUGGUUAGACUAAUCCCCACCUAACCUACAUAAUUUGGGGUACUCCACCUAGUGCCCAUGGUUUGAGGUUGGAGCCUCGACCUUUUAAAACAUAUGGUGUCCCGAGCUAGGUCUUAGGGGACUAUUCGGGGACUAUCUCGGGGCUGAGUCUAUUUCUCUCGUCUUGUCCAUCUCUUCGUCACCUCCACAUGCACCGGGUUGCACGUGUGGACGAGUUUAAUAAUCCACAUUGCCUAAUUAUCUAAGGCUACUCCACCUAUUGCCAAUUGGUUUUAGUUGGACGCCUCAAUCCUUUCUAACAAUAGUAUGCUAUUUCAUGAUAAUGUGGCGGACAAUCAUAAGUUAUGGUUAUCUUUGCUCUACUUUGGCAGUGCUUGACAUUUCAGGCUUGUCCUUCCCAGGUCUUGCCGUAUGAUAUGUUAAUGCAGGAGUGGAUGUUACAAAUGUACGAGAACUAGAAGAUUUUCUUAUAAAUGAGUGCAUGUAUGUGGUAGGUAUUAAAUCUUGUCUUCCUCAAUCAGAUGGCAUGGCUAUGUCUAGCAUGACAUUCCUGCUCCCUAAUCCCCACCCCACCCUUAAAAAAAAAGAGAGAGAGAGAGAGAGGAGGAAAACGUAAUAUAACAAAUUUGAGACAAUGGUGCUGAAUUUUGCAGGGCAUUGUUAGAGGGAAGUUAGUAUUCAGUUGCGAAGAUGCUUCGAGUUUGAAUUCAUGUGUCCAGUUGCACUGUUUGUUCAGUUUUUUGAUUUUGGUAUUGUAUUUACGUAACCCAUGAAAUUGGUACUUAAAGUUAGUGGGUGGUAGUGCAGGUUCAAUGCGCAGGCAGGAUCUGAGACCUGGGACAUGGGGGAGUAUGAUACAAACAUUAACAAAAUGGUAAUAUUUCUGAUUUUAAUUUAUUGGAUAUUUUUUUUUGUGCGCAUUUGGGUUGAAUGUUUGUGUAUUUAGAAUUAGAAUAAGUCAUCGUUAAUUACAUGGUUUACCGUGUGGGAGUGAAAUAUCUAACUGGGAUGAACUGAAGUAUUCGUUUGGAUAGUAGAUUUUAAAUUGUUGCGUUAUUUAUGACAUAUCUUUUUAAAAAUCGGGGCAACAAAGAUUGGUGCUUAAGACAAUUCCAAAAUGGUGAUAUAACCUAGGAAAUUUCUUUGAGGUGCGGUGAAUAUCCUUCCUGUGUUUAAAUUAUUUAAUUUGCUCAACAAUAUUACUUAGAAGGACAGUUCAAUGCUAGCUGACACCCAUCUCAUUCUCAUCUCAGUAACAUUGGUUGCUGUAGAAGGUUCCAUUUUUUUUGGUUCUCAGGCUUUGUGGACUGCUUCUCGCUAUGUAAACCAUUUUCUUUUUUGGUGAUUCUGAAGUAGGGAAAAUUAAUGAGUCAGGAAAAUAGCAAUUGUUUGAUAUUUCAAAAAUACAUUUAAAUGUAUUACGCGUGCAUUUAUAGAUAAAGAUAUAUGUACAACUGAAAAUUUCAGGGACCUAAAGCAAUUAAAGCUUGUUUUAAAAAUGAUGAAUUGGAUGUGAUCACUUGCGUCUA
rnacentral:lncRNA from 1 species